AGUUCUGAUUGGGCAAUUGCUGCAGGAAAUACAAAUUUCCUUGCAGAGGAAAGUCCGAACUCCGAAGAACAGGGUGCCGGGUAACGCCCGGGAACCAAGGUGAAAACUAAGGUUACGGAAAGUGCCGCAGAAAAGAUACCGCCCGCCUUAGGCGGGUAAGGGUGAAAAGGCAGGGUAAAAGCCUACCGCUCCGUCAGUAAUGCCGGAGGUUCCGUUAAGGAAGUCCUGUAAAAGGGACCAAGGCAAACCCCACCCGGAGCAAGGUUAAGCAGAAAGAUCCUUCUUUUUUGGAAGGGAAGGUUGUUCGCCUUUAUUCUUUCGGGUAAACUGCUGGAUUAUGAUAGCAAUAUCAUAACAAGAUAAAUAAUUGCCAUCCGCCUUAGGCGGAUUACAGAAUUCGGCUUAUAGAUCUGGGCUGCUU
rnacentral:RNase_P_RNA from 1 species